CCUGGCUCAGGAUGAACGCUAGCUACAGGCUUAACACAUGCAAGUCGAGGGGCAGCAUGGUCUUAGCUUGCUAAGGCCGAUGGCGACCGGCGCACGGGUGAGUAACACGUAUCCAACCUGCCGUCUACUCUUGGACAGCCUUCUGAGAGGAAGAUUAAUACAAGAUGGCAUCAUGAGUCCGCAUGUUCACAUGAUUAAAGGUAUUCCGGUAGACGAUGGGGAUGCGUUCCAUUAGAUAGUAGGCGGGGUAACGGCCCACCUAGUCUUCGAUGGAUAGGGGUUCUGAGAGGAAGGUCCCCCACAUUGGAACUGAGACACGGUCCAAACUCCUACGGGAGGCAGCAGUGAGGAAUAUUGGUCAAUGGGCGAGAGCCUGAACCAGCCAAGUAGCGUGAAGGAUGACUGCCCUAUGGGUUGUAAACUUCUUUUAUAAAGGAAUAAAGUCGGGUAUGGAUACCCGUUUGCAUGUACUUUAUGAAUAAGGAUCGGCUAACUCCGUGCCAGCAGCCGCGGUAAUACGGAGGAUCCGAGCGUUAUCCGGAUUUAUUGGGUUUAAAGGGAGCGUAGAUGGAUGUUUAAGUCAGUUGUGAAAGUUUGCGGCUCAACCGUAAAAUUGCAGUUGAUACUGGAUAUCUUGAGUGCAGUUGAGGCAGGCGGAAUUCGUGGUGUAGCGGUGAAAUGCUUAGAUAUCACGAAGAACUCCGAUUGCGAAGGCAGCCUGCUAAGCUGCAACUGACAUUGAGGCUCGAAAGUGUGGGUAUCAAACAGGAUUAGAUACCCUGGUAGUCCACACGGUAAACGAUGAAUACUCGCUGUUUGCGAUAUACUGCAAGCGGCCAAGCGAAAGCGUUAAGUAUUCCACCUGGGGAGUACGCCGGCAACGGUGAAACUCAAAGGAAUUGACGGGGGCCCGCACAAGCGGAGGAACAUGUGGUUUAAUUCGAUGAUACGCGAGGAACCUUACCCGGGCUUAAAUUGCAGAUGAAUUACGGUGAAAGCCGUAAGCCGCAAGGCAUCUGUGAAGGUGCUGCAUGGUUGUCGUCAGCUCGUGCCGUGAGGUGUCGGCUUAAGUGCCAUAACGAGCGCAACCCUUGUUGUCAGUUACUAACAGGUUCCGCUGAGGACUCUGACAAGACUGCCAUCGUAAGAUGUGAGGAAGGUGGGGAUGACGUCAAAUCAGCACGGCCCUUACGUCCGGGGCUACACACGUGUUACAAUGGGGGGUACAGAGGGCCGCUACCACGCGAGUGGAUGCCAAUCCCCAAAACCUCUCUCAGUUCGGACUGGAGUCUGCAACCCGACUCCACGAAGCUGGAUUCGCUAGUAAUCGCGCAUCAGCCACGGCGCGGUGAAUACGUUCCCGGGCCUUGUACACACCGCC
rnacentral:rRNA from 1 species